rnacentral:rRNA from 1 species
CGCCAGCUAAGGUCCCAAAGUCAUAGUUAAGUGGGAAACGAUGUGGGAAGGCCCAGACAGCCAGGAUGUUGGCUUAGAAGCAGCCAUCAUUUAAAGAAAGCGUAAUAGCUCACUGGUCGAGUCGGCCUGCGCGGAAGAUGUAACGGGGCUAAACUAUGCACCGAAGCUGCGGCAGCGACACUAUGUGUUGUUGGGUAGGGGAGCGUUCUGUAAGCCUGUGAAGGUGUGUCGUGAGGCAUGCUGGAGGUAUCAGAAGUGCGAAUGCUGACAUAAGUAACGAUAAAGCGGGUGAAAAGCCCGCUCGCCGGAAGACCAAGGGUUCCUGUCCAACGUUAAUCGGGGCAGGGUGAGUCGACCCCUAAGGCGAGGCCGAAAGGCGUAGUCGAUGGGAAACGGGUUAAUAUUCCCGUACUUGGUGUUACUGCGAAGGGGGGACGGAGAAGGCUAUGUUGGCCGGGCGACGGUUGUCCCGGUUUAAGCGUGUAGGUGUGUGUUCCAGGUAAAUCCGGUUCACUUUAACACUGAGGCGUGAUGACGAGGCACUACGGUGCUGAAGCAACAAAUGCCCUGCUUCCAGGAAAAGCCUCUAAGCAUCAGGUAACAUCAAAUCGUACCCCAAACCGACACAGGUGGUCAGGUAGAGAAUACCAAGGCGCUUGAGAGAACUCGGGUGAAGGAACUAGGCAAAAUGGUGCCGUAACUUCGGGAGAAGGCACGCUGACACGUAGGUGAAGUGAUUUACUCAUGGAGCUGAAGUCAGUCGAAGAUACCAGCUGGCUGCAACUGUUUAUUAAAAACACAGCACUGUGCAAACACGAAAGUGGACGUAUACGGUGUGACGCCUGCCCGGUGCCGGAAGGUUAAUUGAUGGGGUCAGCGCAAGCGAAGCUCCUGAUCGAAGCCCCGGUAAACGGCGGCCGUAACUAUAACGGUCCUAAGGUAGCGAAAUUCCUUGUCGGGUAAGUUCCGACCUGCACGAAUGGCGUAAUGAUGGCCAGGCUGUCUCCACCCGAGACUCAGUGAAAUUGAACUCGCUGUGAAGAUGCAGU